GACGAACGCUGGCGGCGUGCUUAACACAUGCAAGUCGAACGGUAAGGCCCUUCGGGGUACACGAGUGGCGAGCGGGUGAGUAACACGUGGGUGAUCUGCCCUGCACUUCGGGAUAAGCCUGGGAAACUGGGUCUAAUACCGGAUAGGACCACUGCCUGCAUGGGUGGUGGUGGAAAGCUUUUGCGGUGUGGGAUGGGCCCGCGUCCGAUUAGCUAGUUGGUGAGGUAAAAGCUCACCAAGGCGACGAUCGGUAGCUGGUCUGAGAGGAUGAUCAGCCAGACUGGGACUGAGACACGGCCCAGACUCCUACGGGAGGCAGCAGUGGGGAAUAUUGCACAAUGGGCGCAAGCCUGAUGCAGCGACGCCGCGUGAGGGAUGACGGCCUUCGGGUUGUAAACCUCUUUCAGCACCGACGAAGCGCAAGUGACGGUAGGUGCAGAAGAAGGACCGGCCAACUACGUGCCAGCCGCCGCAGUAA
rnacentral:rRNA from 1 species